CAACAAUGCCCCUAUGUAACCUCUGCCUGUGUCCAGACAGCCCGAGGCUCCGGCUGCAAGCUGACUACAAGGAUGCACACGGUUCAGCGCUACACGGCGUAGGUGGUCCUCGUAUGUGGCUGCAUUCUUCAGUGCUGCGCGUCAUUUUGAUUCCUUUGAAUUGCAUUCCAUGUAGACAGCAGAGGGCAAGGCAGUGAAGGAGUGACAGCAAAUGGAAACAUCUUGGGAUAAUCACCUACUAGCUGCACAGAUGUUUCAUAUUCUGCUGAAGGAAGCAAGUUUCCUUGGAAUACUUGAGGUAAGGCCUCUGUAUGUUGAGUGAACUUUGACCCUUUUGCACAGUAGAAACUGAGACUCAACCUGCCAACUCCACAGAAGUAAUAGAGAUCUCAACACAUGAAGAAGCAUUUCAGACUAGAUCAGCUGGGAGGUGUGACAUUUAAUUUAAAGAAUUUAAGAAUUGAUAAUUUGUGACAUGUUGGAGGUAUUAGCUAAUAUGAUUAGUGUGAUAAUCACAUUGCAUAAGUAAAUGUUUCAGAUCAACAUGUUGUGUAUCUUAAACUUACACAAUGUUGUUUGUCAAUUAUAUCUCAACUUAAAAAAUAACAGAAAAGGCAAAAGGAAGAGGAAUUAGAUGAGAGCUUAGACUAUGUCUGGCUAACUAUUUUCAUUUCCUUUGUGAUGAGGAAUGAUGGUUGGGUAGCAGAAACCCACCAAACAGUAUCUGUAGUCUGUUGUACAAUAUAAAAAUUUAGUCCAUGGUUCAGUAAACCCUAUUUACCAUAUUAUAUAGUGGCAAUAGUCGUGUUCAGUUAUAUCUUUUGAUCGUCUUUGUAGAAGGUCAGAUUAAAGAACCCUUUAGGUAUGAAAUUCAUCUGGUUAGGACCAUACCUGAAUAUUGUUGACAACAUUCAGUUGCCCAGAGACAGGAAAAUCUUAUUAGGCAAAUCCCCUUAAGAAUGCAGCAUUAGAGAAAAUAUGUCCUUAAGCAAUCUUGGAAUGGAGAGUUUCCUCCCAAACAAGUUGUAAAACCCCCCGGUGGCUGAGAGGUUAAAGUGUCUGCCUGCAGUGCAGGAGACCUAAGUUUGAUCCCUGAGUCUAGAAGAUCCACUGGAGAAGGAAAUGGCAACCCACUCUAGUAUUCUUGCCUGG
rnacentral:lncRNA from 1 species